rnacentral:rRNA from 1 species
AUGAUUUGCGCCAUGGGUGGCGGUGGCCUUGGCGGCAUGAGAGACAUGGGUGGCUUUGAAGCUACCAUGGAGACCAUGGGAGGCAUGGGUGGCUUUGGAGCACCUCCGGGCGCCAUGGCCGGCAUGGGAGGCAUGAGUUUAGCGUCUCUCAUGGGAGGCAUGGGUGCACCUCUGGCCGCCAUGGGCGGAACGUCUUCCGGUGUGCCUCACACACCUUUCCAUGAAGGUGCCGUUGAAGAUCUUGCCAACACCGUCCGAGCUUCACAUGAUGCGGCGCACGAGAAUGAUGAAGAGGAAGAGAAAGAAUCGUCUUCGGAGGAGUCGGAUGAAUCGGAGGAAGAUGAGGAUGAAGACGAGGACGAGGCUUGA